GAUCAAGAAGUUCGACGCUUUUUCGGGUCUCCCGGCCCGUCGACUAGCAACCGCGCAAUCGCGCACGGUGCUCCCGGGGGAAGAUCGGCCGGCGACGCGACCGCGCGCCGGAAGUGCGAUAU
rnacentral:ncRNA from 2 species